rnacentral:rRNA from 1 species
GCAAGUCGACUGGAAUUCACCUUCGGGUGAUAGUACGGUGGCGGACGGGUGAGUAACGCGUAAAGAACUUGCCCUCUAGACUGGGACAACUGUUGGAAACGACAGCUAAUACCGGAUAUUAUGGAACUGUGACAUCGCAGAUCUAUGAAAGGCUAUAUGCGCUAGAGGAGAGCUUUGCGUCCCAUUAGGUAGUUGGUAGGGUAAUGGCCUACCAAGGCGACGAUCUCUAGCUGGUCUGAGAGGAUGAUC